AUUGAACGCUGGCGGCAUGCCUUACACAUGCAAGUCGAACGGCAGCACGGGUGCUUGCACCUGGUGGCGAGUGGCGAACGGGUGAGUAAUACAUCGGAACGUACCUUAUCGUGGGGGAUAACGCAGCGAAAGCUGUGCUAAUACCGCAUACGCCCUGAGGGGGAAAGCGGGGGAUCGCAAGACCUCGCGCGAUUAGAGCGGCCGAUGCCUGAUUAGCUAGUUGGUGGGGUAAAAGCCCACCAAGGCGACGAUCAGUAGCUGGUCUGAGAGGACGAGCAGCCACACUGGGACUGAGACACGGCCCAGACUCCUGCGGGAGGCAGCAGUGGGGAAUUUUGGACAAUGGGGGCAACCCUGAUCCAGCAAUGCCGCGUGAGUGAAGGAGGCCUUCGGGUUGUAAAGCUCUUUUGUCAGGGAAGAAACACCGGCUCUAACACAGUCCGGGAAUGACGGUACCUGAAGAAUAAGCACCGGCUAACUACGUGCCAGCCGCCGCCGUAA
rnacentral:rRNA from 1 species